rnacentral:lncRNA from 1 species
AGCGCGGCGGUCAGGUGGCCCCCAGCCAGUGGCCCGUGCCUCCUGCUUCCCGGUCUCUCGGGCUCUGGCGUCGUGUCUCCCGCAGCUCGCCUUUCCGAUUGUUCUCCUGCGGCCGGAGACACAGCCCCCUAGCCGAGCUCUAGCGCCUCAGCAGAUGUGAAGAGGCAGCGGGUCCGAAUAAACCCGCGCACGCCAUAAUACAGCGCUGGGGCCCAGGGACAGACUCGGGUCUUUUGCUUCCCGGGUCCGCGUUUAUUGAGCAUCUAGUGUAUAGAGAGAGGCUGAGCUCGGUGGAGAGUAACACAGCAGGCUGGGAAAGAGGCACGGCCUGAUCCGCAGGAGUUUUUGCCUCUCCGGGCCAAAAUGAACCUUACUGCGAGAUUCCCAUCACCGCUGUGGAGGCUAGAGAUGGUUACCAUCCUAGGAUGGCUUGAUGCCCAAGGCCCAGGGACACUCGUUAGUGAAAGCCUCUAGCAAAUGAUUGUUUCCUUUAAUUUUUUUUUCUCUAUGAUGGCCGGUCUAGCUUGGCUCUCGAAUUUUUGUAUUCCCAGAAAGAACCUAAAUCGGUACAGUGAAUUCUUCAUAGGUGUUUGAUAAGAGGUUUCUUCCUCUUUCCAUCUUAAAGUAACAAACUACAAGAAGAAACACACCCAUGGCCAUGUCUUCUCAAAUAAAAAGGCAGAAACCAAUAAAAAGGCUGACCCAACACUGGGGAAACCAGUAGAGAGUUGCCAAAGAUCGGUCAUGUUCUGGGUGGUCUCUGAGAGUUUGAAGACAUUCAUUCUUAGUGCACAAAAUAGUUUUAUAACCAGUUCCACCGGGCAGCUUCAAGGGCCUUCCUAGAGAGAGGAGCCAACAGACAAGGCUGCCCAAGGAAAAGACAGAUCCAGAACAGAGAUCUCAGGUGCCCAAUAUUCGGCAGAGCUUACUUCCUCCAGAGGUUGCCUGGGCAGUUGUGCAGAUCCAUCGUGAACCAGUUAUAGAGGUGCCAGUGUGUCCUUCUUGCAGCCCUAACCACUCCAGAGGCCCUGUCAGCUUCCCUAGAUGUUCUCCCAUCACAAAGCCUUUGCUGCUUCAGGUAAUCCUACCAUUGUUACCAGUAGCCAAUGUAGAUUCAAUGUA